rnacentral:lncRNA from 1 species
CAGGAGUCUCAAUCGGGUGGUUCAAGCAAGCGGCCGAAUAUGACUUAAUCGGGCCGAUCCAAGCAACGAAUGGGCACUUGCCAUGGCGACAAGCAAGCGGAUGACGCUUGAUCCAAGUAUGGCGAACCACCUUAACAAUUUCUCUGAUGUCAUUCUUAGCUCCAUCCUCUCCCUCCUCGCUAUCCGGGAGGUUGUUUACACC